CACUCCUGCGGGAGGCAGCAGUGGGGAAUUUUGGACAAUGGGCGAAAGCCUGAUCCAGCCAUGCCGCGUGCAGGAUGAAGGCCUUCGGGUUGUAAACUGCUUUUGUACGGAACGAAACGGCCUUUUCUAAUAAAGAGGGCUAAUGACGGAACCGUAAGAAUAAGCACCGGCUAACUACGUGCCAGCAGCCGCGGUAAUACGUAGGGUGCAAGCGUUAAUCGGAAUUACUGGGCGUAAAGCGUGCGCAGGCGGUUAUGUAAGACAGUUGUGAAAUCCCCGGGCUCAACCUGGGAACUGCAUCUGUGACUGCAUAGCUAGAGUACGGUAGAGGGGGAUGGAAUUCCGCGUGUAGCAGUGAAAUGCGUAGAUAUGCGGAGGAACACCGAUGGCGAAGGCAAUCCCCUGGACCUGUACUGACGCUCAUGCACGAAAGCGUGGGGAGCAAACAGGAUUAGAUACCCUUGUAGUCCCA
rnacentral:rRNA from 1 species